UACGAAGGGGGCUAGCGUUGCUCGGAAUUACUGGGCGUAAAGCGCACGUAGGCGGCUCUUUAAGUCGGGGGUGAAAUCCUGGAGCUCAACUCCAGAACUGCCUUCGAUACUGAAGAGCUCGAGUCCGGGAGAGGUGAGUGGAACUGCGAGUGUAGAGGUGAAAUUCGUAGAUAUUCGCAAGAACACCAGUGGCGAAGGCGGCUUACUGGUCCGGAACUGACGCUGAGGUGCGAAAGCGUGGGGAGCAAACAGG
rnacentral:rRNA from 1 species